UUCGCAAUGCCCGAAAGGGUGACGAAGCGACGCCGCGUGUGGGAAGAAGGCCUUCGGGUUGUGAACCACUGUCGGGAGUUAGGAAAUGCAAGUGCGUUAAUAGCAUUCUUGCUUGACUAAGGCUCCGGAGGAAGCCACGGCUAACUCUGUGCCAGCAGCCGCGGUAAUACAGAGGCGGCAAGCGUUGUUCGGAAUUAUUGGGCGUAAAGAGCACGUAGGCGGCCUUGCAAGUCGGUUGUGAAAGCCUUCCGCUUAACGGAAGAACGGCAUCUGAUACUACAUAGCUUGAGUACGGGAGGGGAGAGUGGAACUUCUGGUGGAGCGGUGAAAUGCGUAGAUAUCAGAAGGAACGCCGGCGGCGAAAGCGACUCUCUGGUCCGAAACUGACGCUGAGUGUGCGAAAGCUAGGGGAGCAAACGGGAUUAGAUACCCCGGUAGUCCUAGCCGUAAACGAUGGGCACUAAGUAGAGGGGUUUUA
rnacentral:rRNA from 1 species